rnacentral:lncRNA from 1 species
GGUUUAGGAUAGCUCAGACACUUCAUAAGAAAAAAUUAUUAGUUAGAACAGUUCUACUAUAUGUAUCUUGGAUCAUUCAAUAACAAGCCAACAUACCAUCCAAGAAAAUGAAUCUUUUCUCAUUCAAAAUAAUAAAGUUGGCAACUGGCAAAUCAUAAUAAACAGUGAAAUUUUUUUAUUUAAAAUUUUCAAUCAAAUUUGAAUAAUCAUGCAGCUUUUUCGACUAAC